rnacentral:rRNA from 1 species
AGAGUUUGAUUAUGGCUCAGGAUAAACGCUGGCGGCGUGCCUAACACAUGCAAGUCAAGGAGAAAGUCUGCUUCGGUAGACGAGUAAACUGGCGAACGGGUGAGUAACGCGUAGAUAACUUGCCCAAAGGACUGGGAUAACUUCGAGAAAUCGGGACUAAUACCGGAUAUGGCAAUCAGUCAUAAGACUGGUUGUAAAAGGGGGUUUCGGCUCCCACCUUUGGAUAGGUCUGCGUCUGAUUAGUUAGUUGGUGGGGUAACGGCUUACCAAGACGACGAUCAGUAGCUGGUCUGAGAGGAUGAUCAGCCACAUUGGGACUGAGAUACGGCCCAGACUCCUACGGGAGGCAGCAGUGGGGAAUUUUGCGCAAUGGGGGAAACCCUGACGCAGCAACGCCGCGUGGUCGAUGAAGCUUCUAGGAGUGUAAAGACCUGUCGUUGGGGAAGAACAGGACAGUGAGUAACUGCUCUGUCCGUGACUGUACCCUUCAAGAAAGCUCCGGCUAACUCCGUGCCAGCAGCCGCGGUAAUACGGGGGGAGCAAGCGUUAUCCGGAAUCACUGGGCGUAAAGGGCGCGUAGGCGGAUGGUUAAGUCAAAUCUGAAAGUUAACAGCUUAACUGUUAAAGUGGGUUUGAUACUGGUUAUCUUGAGUGCGAGAGAGGAAAGCGGAAUUCCUGGUGUAGCGGUGAAAUGCGUAGAUAUCAGGAGGAACACCGGUGGCGAAGGCGGCUUUCUGGCUCGUAACUGACGCUGAGGCGCGAAAGCGUGGGUAGCAAACAGGAUUAGAUACCCUGGUAGUC